rnacentral:rRNA from 1 species
UGAGGAAUAUUGGUCAAUGGGCGCAAGCCUGAACCAGCCAUGCCGCGUGCAGGAUGAAGCAUCUAUGGUGUGUAAACUGCUUUUGUACGGGAAGAAACACCUCUACGUGUAGAGGCUUGACGGUACCGUAAGAAUAAGGAUCGGCUAACUCCGUGCCAGCAGCCGCGGUAAUACGGAGGAUCCAAGCGUUAUCCGGAAUCAUUGGGUUUAAAGGGUCCGUAGGCGGUUUUGUAAGUCAGUGGUGAAAUCCGGCAGCUUAACUGUCGAACUGCCAUUGAUACUGCAGGACUUGAAUUACUGUGAAGUAACUAGAAUAUGUAGUGUAGCGGUGAAAUGCUUAGAUAUUACAUGGAAUACCAAUUGCGAAGGCAGGUUACUAACAUUAUAUUGACGCUGAUGGACGAAAGCGUGGGUAGCGAACA